UACGAAGGGGGCUAGCGUUGCUCGGAAUCACUGGGCGUAAAGCGCACGUAGGCGGAUUGUUAAGUCAGGGGUGAAAUCCUGGAGCUCAACUCCAGAACUGCCUUUGAUACUGGCGAUCUUGAGUCCGGGAGAGGUGAGUGGAACUGCGAGUGUAGAGGUGAAAUUCGUAGAUAUUAGGAAGAACACCGGUGGCGAAGGCGGCCCACUGGUCCGGUACUGACGCUGAGGUGCGAAAGCGUGGGGAGCAAACAGG
rnacentral:rRNA from 1 species